GGGGCUGGGGCUCAGUGGUAGAGCGCUCACCUCGCACAGGUGGGGCACUGAGUUUGAUCCUCAGCAUCACUU
rnacentral:tRNA from 1 species